CCCCCUCGGAAAAGAAACAGAAAUCAAAACCACCGCUGUCAGAGUUUUCAGCCUGCAGUGUUGUUUUCUUUCUUUUCUUUCUUUUCUUUCUUUCUUUCUUUCUUUUUUUUUUUUUUAACUUGUAAACUUUGGGACCCACUGUGCGUGCAGAGCUCUAUCUGUCACAGCGGCAUUUGGUUCUGCCAUCCCGCUGCCGAGGCUCGGUCCGCCCCGCAGAAGAUGCUGUAGCUUUAAAGAUGCUUUGACUCAAGGAUUAGUUUAAACAGGGGCUAUAAAAGAUGUAACAGAUGCAAACUGUAAAACAAGGGCAAUUAACCCUUGCUCUCCUGAGCAGGAUCCCCUCUCGCCUUCUCGUCUAUUGUCUUCUCCUGCACUGGGACUUUUACAUUAAUUUUUUUUUUUUUAAUAAUUCCUUGACUGAACACUCUUAUUUUUUUUUUUCAGCCAAGUGUUUUUUUUUUUAAUUAUUAUUAUUUUUAUUUUUUAUUUCCCCCCCUUCCUCCUUGUGUCUUCUCACUUUGCUGGCGCUUCCCAGCAGGGCUGAGCGGAGCAGCGUGCUGCUCCUGCUCCUUCCUCCUGCCUCAACUCUUCCCAGCCCUCUGCGGUCCCCAAACCCGCGUGUCCCGAGCAGGAUCCCAGAAACUAAGGUGCUACUUCACCCAGCUCCGCGAAAUAAAAGAAAGAAAUGAAAGCGAGCAAGCAGACAAAAUAGCAAACUUUCUGUUUGGGGAAACACAUCCUCGCCGGGCUGGGCUGCAGCACGAACAGUUUUGGCCAGAAAUGGUGAGAAGAAAAAGCAUGAAGAAGCCGCGAAGUGGAGGAGAAAAGGUGAAGGGAGAUGCAGCUCCUGGAGAAAUUGUAAAAGCCUCGCAAAGAGUUGUCGGAAGGACCGUUAUUCCUGCUGGGCAGGAGCGAGAGGAGAGACCCUGAAACACACGCCACCUAUCUUUGUGGGGAGGGAUAAUUGAAGAGCACCAAACGUGAGCAUCAUGUGGAAA